GCCGGGUUGGCGGAAUGGUAGACGCGGCGCACUCAAAAUGCGCUGUCCUUCGUGACGUGCGGGUUCGAGUCCCGCACCCGGUA
rnacentral:tRNA from 1 species